CCUACGGGGAGCAGCAGUCGAGAAUUAUUCACAAUGGGGGAAACCCUGAUGGUGCGACGCCGCGUGGGGGAAUGAAGGUCUUCGGAUUGUAAACCCCUGUCAUGUGGGAGCAAAUUAAAAAGAUAGUACUACAAGAGGAAGAGACGGCUAACUCUGUGCCAGCAGCCGCGGUAAUACAGAGGUCUCAAGCGUUGUUCGGAAUCACUGGGCGUAAAGCGUGCGUAGGCUGUUUCGUAAGUCGUGUGUGAAAGGCGCGGGCUCAACCCGCUGACGGCAAAUGAUACUGCGAGACUAGAGUGAUGGAGGGGGAACCGGAAUUCUCGGUGUAGCAGUGAAAUGCGUAGAUAUCGAGAGGAACACUCGUGGCGAGGGCGGGUUCCUGGACAUUAACUGACGCUGAGGCACGAAGGCCAGGGGAGCGAAAGGGAUUAGAUACCCGAGUAGUC
rnacentral:rRNA from 1 species